GAGUUUGAUCCUGGCUCAGGACGAACGCUGGCGGCGUGCUUAACACAUGCAGGUGGAGCGACGAACCGGGGCUUGCCCCGGGGCAGAGCCGCGAACGGGUGAGUAACACGUGGGUAACCCACCCCGAUGAUUGGGACAACCCGGGGAAACUCGGGCUAAUACCAAAUGUGCUCGUAGGCCAUGAGGUCCACGAGUAAAGAUAGCUUCGGCCUUCGCAUCGGGACGGGCCCGCGGCCCAUUAGCUUGUUGGUGAGGUAACGGCUCACCAAGGCGACGAUGGGUAGCUGGUCUGAGAGGACGAUCAGCCACACUGGGACUGAGACACGGCCCAGACUCCUACGGGAGGCAGCAGUGGGGAAUCUUGCGCAAUGCGCGAAAGCGUGACGCAGCAACGCCGCGUGGAGGAAGACGGUCUUCGGAUUGUAAACUCCUUUCAGUUGGGACGAAGCUCAACGGGUUAAUAGCCCGGUGGAGUGACGGUACCUUCAGAAGAAGCCCCGGCUAACUACGUGCCAGCAGCUGCAGUAAU
rnacentral:rRNA from 1 species